rnacentral:lncRNA from 1 species
GAGCCUGGCCUUUGUACCCUUUGAAUAGUGUAGUUCUCACAUUAUGGGUAAGUAAAAAUGUUUUUUUUCUUUUUUGUUUAACCUUAAGAGUAUCCUUCCAUAAUUAUCGUUUUCUUUUUUAUCUAAGGUGAGCUCUGAGUUUAAAUACUUGAAUUAUUAGAGGAUAAACUCUCACUUCGAGGAUUACAGAAGUUGGGGGGUGCUGUUCAUAUUAAGCUGGGGAGUGCCCAGUUCAUGUUAAGUUCUCAACAUCAGGCAGUUCAAAGUGAAGGGAUCGGGAACGACUUGGAAACAGCUUUCAGGGCACAUGUGAAUCACUUUCUAGCUUGUAGAGGUGAGUCCCAGGACCAUCAUCACAGCUGA